AAGAUUCUCGACAUCCCCAUCAAAUUGUUGAAUGUAACAUCCCUGUAGAUCUGAACCCGAAAACUUCAAGAUUCAGCAACAAGAAAGAAAGAAAGAAAAAAUCUAAAGAACCAAGAUUGAAUCAAUGAUUAUGUGUACCUGUGAAAAUGUGAGAGAUGCUGUUUCUUGCUUUUCUUUUUUUGGCACAGAAGUGAAGAGACAAAGCGUUCUUUAGGUUUCUAGACAAAGCGUUAUUUAUGUUUCUAACCAACACUUUUGUUCUGCUUUCCCACCUUCAGACUCGGAGCAACAGCUGCCGCCUACACAGCAGUU